rnacentral:lncRNA from 1 species
UGACUAGGGACUUGUGACUGGGUGCUGGCCAGCCAGCCCGCUUGCUUGCCUACGAGCCUUCCCUAGUCACGGACUGUCGCAUACCGAGAAUAAGUCUAAGUCAUGCACCGUGACUGACACAGCUCGGUUCAGGUGACCCACGAGCCUUCCCUAGACACGGACGUUGACUGGGAGCUCGUGAGUCGCGACUCGUGACUGGUGACUGGUGACUGGGGGCUCGUGAGUCGCGACUCUUGACUUGUGACUGGUGACUCGUGACUGGUGACUGGGAGCUCGUGCGUCGCGACUCGUGACUAGUGACUGGUGACUGGGGGCUGGUGACUGGGGGCUCGUGAGUCGCGACUCGUUACUGGUUACUUGGGGCUCGUGAGUCGCGACUGGUGACUGGUGACUGGGGGCUCGUGAGUCGCGACUGGUGGCUGGGGACUGGGGGCUGGUGACUGGUGACUGGGGGCUCGUGAGUCGCGACUGGUGGCUGGGGACUGGGGGCUGGUGACUGGUGACUGGGGGCUCGUGAGUCGCGACUCGUGACUGGUGACUGGGGUCUGGGGGCUGGUGACUGGUGGCUGGGGACUGGGGGCUGGUGACUGGUGACUGGGGGCUCGUGAGUCGCGACUCGGGACUGGUGACUUGGGGCUCGUGAGUCGCGACUGGGGACUGGGGGCUGGUGACUGGUGACUGGGGGCUGGGGGCUGGGGACUGGGGGCUGGGGGCUCGUGAGUCGCGACUCGUGACUGGGUGCAGGCCAGCCAGCCAGCCUGCUUGCCUGGGGACUGGGGACUUGUAACUUGGUGCUGGCCAGCCAGCCAACCAGCAGGCCUGCUUGUCUGGUGACUAGGGACUUGUGAC